GAUGAACGCUGGCGGCGUGCUUAACACAUGCAAGUCGAACGGAAAGGCUCCUGCUUGCCGGGGUACUCGAGUGGCGAACGGGUGAGUAACACGUGGGUGAUCUGCCCUGCACUUCGGGAUAAGCCUGGGAAACUGGGUCUAAUACCGGAUAGGACCACAUUUUGGAUGGUGUGGUGGAAAGUUUUUCGGUGUGGGAUGAGCUCGCGGCCUAUCAGCUUGUCGGUGGGGUAAUGGCCUACCAAGGCGUCGACGGGUAGCCGGCCUGAGAGGGUGUACGGCCACAUUGGGACUGAGAUACGGCCCAGACUCCUACGGGAGGCAGCAGUGGGGAAUAUUGCACAAUGGGCGCAAGCCUGAUGCAGCGACGCCGCGUGGGGGAUGACGGCCUUCGGGUUGUAAACUCCUUUCGCUAGGGACGAAGCGCAAGUGACGGUACCUGGAGAAGAAGCACCGGCUAACUACGUG
rnacentral:rRNA from 1 species